AAAAAUGUAAAUGCUACUCCGAGAAAGCCUGCAAAUUACAACACUCCCGUGAAAAGGCAUUUAGUGUCAAGGAUUCAGAUUCGACACAUGCGUUUUGUGAAAUACUUGCCCGAUACUAUGCUGUUCAAGAACGAUCUUAGGGAUGAUUUUACAGCGAUUAAGAUCGCAAAGGACAUCAAACUCAACGAGGUUGUACCCAACAAAUACAGACAGAAACUCUCUGUCUCUGCAGCUAAGAAGAAAGACUUAAUGACAUUGUGUAAGAAUGGAGCAAUUCCUAAAGAUUAUCACGUCUUGAGUAUUACAAAAACUUACCAUCAAGUGCCCCAGUGAAGGAUAGAUUACCAGAGUCAGACAUAGAGGAAUCUGAUGGUGAUGAAUCAGACAACUAUCCGAACAUCAGUGGUUGCUUAACUAUUGUAUAUAAACGCAUUGACUGCAGAAGCGAUUCAUAAACCUAAAGAUUAUAAUUAAGAUCUAGUCAUAAUUUUAAAGGACUAUAAAAUUUAGUGAUAAAUGACAAUCUUUUGAGCAUGAAGUGAAAAGGGAACUAAAUGUUGCACAAAAUUUGAUAUCAAAAUAAUUCUAUGUCUAUUAAGAAAUGUAAAUCUCAAAGCAAAGAACAUUGUGAUAGUUUUUGAGUUUGAUGGUAUAUGAGAACCGGUUUAAUGACACGGAAUCUAGGAUUAGAUUUUGUUGAAACAGUAUGGUUUGAUGCCAUAUGAAGACUCUAUAAGACUAAAUGACCUAAUGUUCUUUGUCUGUAUGACACCAAAAUAUGCUACAACAACUGUAUAUGUUUUUGAGCAGACAUAUAUUUUAAUAAAUAACAUACAGAGAG